GACGAACGCUGGCGGCGUGCUUAACACAUGCAAGUCGAGCGGUAAGGCCCUUUCGGGGUACGACGAGCGGCGAACGGGUGAGUAACACGUGGGUGACCUGCCCUUACGCUCUGGGAUAAGCCUGGGAAACUGGGUCGUAAUACCGGAUAUGACUCCAUAACGCAUGUUGUGGGGUGGAAAGCCUUGUGCGGCUAGGGAUGGGCCUGCGGCCUAUCAGCUUGUUGGUGGGGUGAUGGCCUACCAAGGCGACGACGGGUAGCCGGCCUGAGAGGGCGACCGGCCACACUGGGACUGAGACACGGCCCAGACUCCUACGGGAGGCAGCAGUGGGGAAUCUUGCGCAAUGGGCGAAAGCCUGACGCAGCGACGCCGCGUGGGGAUGACGGCCU
rnacentral:rRNA from 1 species